rnacentral:lncRNA from 1 species
UUCAAGAGCAGCCUGGCCAACAUGGUGAAACCCUGUCUCUACUAAAAAUACAAAAGUUAGCCUGUUGUGGUGGCGCGCACCUGUAAUCCCAGCUACUCGGGUGGCUGAGGCAGGAGAAUCGCUUGAACCCAGGAGGCGGAGGGUGCAGUGAGCCGGGAUCACGCCACUGCACUUCAGCCUGGGUGACAGAGUGUGACUCCAUCUCAAGAAAAACGAGGGAGAUUAGAAACCUAUGAUCAGGCAUUGGCUGAAACAAAUGGUAAAUUCUUUUGGCAGCCUUGAGCUUCCCCAGGCAGGGACCCAAAGGGGCCUGGGUUAUCCCUGAGACAGGGCCUUGAGCUGCUAGAAACUAUGCUAGUGUUUGUUCAAGUCUCUCCGUGUCCGGGGUGAGCAAAAUUGUUUGUGCUGAAAAUCAAUGAUUUGCAGCUCUCAAGAUUCCAGUGGGCAGUCUGGGUGGGCCUGAGUUUCUGCUUUUUUUUUUUCUUUAUGUACAGGGUCUUGCUCUGUCACCUAGGCUAGAGUGUAAUUAGUGGCCCCAGUCAUGGCUCACUGCAGCUGCAAACUGGCUGCAAGCUGUUCUGGCUCAGCCUACCAAGUUACUGGGCUUACAGGUGGAUGCCACCGUACCCAACAGAUUUUAUUUUUGUAGGGAUGGGGGUCUCCCUGUAUUGCCCAGGCUGGUCUCAAACUCCUGGCCUCCCAAAGUGUUUAGAUUACAGGUGUAAGCCACCACACGUGGCCAGCCUCUGCAUUUCUAACAGGUUCCAGGUGAUCUUGAUGUUCUGCUGGUCCAUGGGUCACACUUUGAGAAGCAUGGUUCUAAAGGACUAUACAGAUUAAAGUCAUUAAUCUCUGUGGGCUUUGGACUUGAAGUUUCAGCAGCCUUUGACAAGCAUUUGCAGGUUUCCUUUUUAUUUAUUUGAUAAACUGAGAAUCCACAUGCAAAGAAAUGCAAGAAAAUUCAAAGAACGUAAGAAAAUGUCCUUGCUGUAAAGCUGGUGGUUCUCAAUCUCGGAUACACAGUAGAAUCACCUGGUGCGGGGGUUGGGGGCGGGGUGCAGUGUAAAAAUUAUUAAAUCAGAAUCUCUGGGGUAGGCCCCAAGCAACUUUUUUUUUUUUUUUUUUAGAUAGAAUCUUGCUUGUCACCUAGGCUAGAGUGCAGUAAUGCAAUCAUGGCUCACUGCUGCCUUAACUUCUGGGCUCAAGUGAUAUCCUCCCACCUCAGCCUCCCUAGUAGCUGGGACUACAGGCGUGGACUACCACACCCAACAAAUUUUUAAAUUUUUUGUAGAGGCAAGCUCUUAUACUAUCUUGCACAGGCUGGUCUCGAACUCCUGGGCUCAAGCAGUCAUCCUGCCUCAGCCUUCCAAAGCUCAGGGAUUACAGACAUGAGCCACAGCACCAGGCCAACAAUAUUUCUUAAAGCUCCUGGAGUGAUUCCAAUAUGCAGCCAAGGUUGAAAACCACCCUUUAAAAGGCUCGGCAUCCAGUGUGGAAGACCAGCACACUCACGUCAGGAGACCUUACCUGGAGCCAGGAUGCCCCUGAUCAUCUCUGAUAACUUUAAAAGGAAGGCCUCAGAAGCAGCCCCAGAAGCAAAAGUUUCUCUCUGACCUUCUCCUGCCCUCUUGUUUCUGGCUUUUCAUUCUCCCCCAAGGCUACCCAUAGAAACUAGAAUCCCUCUUCCCCAAGGCAGGUCAUCAGAAACCAGAACCGGUUUUACCCAAAGCCAGCCAUAAAACCUAAAAAUAGUCCUCUCACUCCCCAUUCCCCUUUCUGUGUAAAAACUGGUUGGAAAGAAAUGAUCUGACCUACCGUGUUUGACUGUCGUAAGAUACCCAUUCCAGAGAGGGUCCCACCCCGUGCCCAGAAGGAAGGAAUCCUGCACAGAGAGGCCAAGAAGAAUCUAGACAGCCUUGCUGGGUUUCCCCUCUCAGUCUAUUACUAUUAGAUCAUACCCUUCUUGUCCAAUCAUAUUUCUACACAGUCCAUAAUCUGUUGAACCUAAACAUAAAAAUGGACAAUUCCCCUGUAUCUUGGGGUCUUCAUUCUGAGGGCUCACAUACAAUUAUGAUCAAAUAAAUUUGUUUGCUUUUUCUCCUGUU